UUGGUGCAAAUGUUUAGAAACAUCAUAUAUAGAAUCUUCAAAGAAAAUAUACAUUUAAACAGAUAAAGUCAAGGUAGAUUUCUGCUGUCUUUUCAGGUUAGCCUAACUAAAGCUAAAGAACUGUUGAGGAACUACACCAAAGCAGUGACCGAUACCAUUCGUUUCCUCCAAAGAGCCACGUUGGCCCUCCUUCCCUCAAUCUGCUCUUCUAGAAGCUGUUCAGAACGACUAAAAGAUGCACAACAUGCUUUACUGACUCUAGACACAGAGUUCCAGUCACAUGUUUCACAGCUUCAAGCUCAAACCCCACAACAUCCCUGCUUCAAGCCACAGAAGAUUGAAUUUCUACACACAGAGGUUCUAGGCGAGCUCCUGGUCAGGCUAUCGACCCUUAAGGCCCAGGCUCAAAUUAAUGUAGAAUCUUUGAAGAGGUACAUAAUGUACAGUAGUAUGAACUUUUCCCUAAGAGUCAAUGGUCAUAAUCACUAAUCAAGUUACGUAAUUACUGUUAACCACAAUACACUCAGUUUGCUUGUCAAAUCUCAAAUCUUUAUGAAACAUUAUCAUAUCUUUUCAUCAAAUUACAAAUACCCUAUGUCAAAAUUAACAAAUUUCUUGUCCAUAACAAGGUGUGUUGAGUGCCAGAAACAUUCUCGUAAGUGCUACGAGGAGCUUUGCCAGCAAGUGAGAGACUUAGAAACAUUUCUAUCACAGUGUGCUUCCAAAAAAAUUACUUCACACAAAGACUGCAAAGACCAGCAACAGAAACUCAAGGUAAAGUCAAAAUAAAAGCCUUUCCUGUAGAAAGACUAGCAUUUGUUAGACUACCAUUACCUCCCAUUACAAUCUCUUUUUCAUUCAUCUGUGUUUUGCCAGCUGAUGCAGUGAGAUACAUAUGGGUUUGAGGCUAGUAUAUUUAAACAUAUUCUUCAUCUUUUUAGGCUCUAGUGGAAGAGGUUGCCAUGCUUCCUGGAAAACUGGAGAAUCUGAGAGAGUGGUGUUCACUUCAUGGGUGCAGAGCCAACAGGGAGGAUGCCGUGAGCGCUAUCUGGGGUCAGGUGGCAAGACUGCAGCGCUGUGGCAGUGAUCUGCAGACACGCUCCGAACAAAUGGAAGCAGAGUGGAGCAGUGUCACAAGGAGUGUGGAGCAGGCAGUCACUGUAUUGGAGCAGGUGGAUGCAGAACUUCCAGAUAGCAGCAGAGAGAAUCUGACUGGUGAUGAGCUACAGGAACUACUGCUUUUCUGGUCCCAGUACCAGGACAGACUGGACUGUGAACACAGAGCUCUCUCCGCUUUGGAAUUAAGAGCUGCAAGGGUGCUUGGUGUUCCCCCGCACCUGGAACAGGCCCCACCCAUUGAGCUGUGCCAAGAGCUUCAAGCCUUGCAAGAGCGUUACCAUAGGUUAGGCACCUACUUUGCAUACUGCUAUUUUUUUUUUAUUACUUUUCUUCUUAGUCUUAAUUAUGGUUUUCUUGAAACAUGA
rnacentral:lncRNA from 1 species